UACAGAGGGGGCAAGCGUUAUUCGGAAUUAUUGGGCGUAAAGGGCGCGUAGGCGGCUUGGCAAGUGGAUGGUGAAAUCCCUCGGCUUAACCGAGGAACUGCCAUCCAGACUGCUUUGCUUGAGGCCGGGAGAGGUGAGUGGAAUUCCCAGUGUAGCGGUGAAAUGCGUAGAUAUUGGGAGGAACACCAGUGGCGAAGGCGGCUCACUGGACCGGUUCUGACGCUGAGGCGCGAAAGCUAGGGGAGCAAACGGG
rnacentral:rRNA from 1 species